GACAGAGGUGCCAAGCGUUAGGCGGAAUCACUGGGCUUAAAGCGUGUGUAGGCGGACCUGUAAGUGCCUUGUGAAAUCCCAUGGCUCAACCAUGGAACGGCUGGGCAUACUGCGGGUCUUGAGCUGUCUAGGGGCAACCGGAACAAACGGUGGAGCGGUGAAAUGCGUAGAUAUCGUUUGGAACGCCAAUGGUGAAAACAGGUUGCUGGGGACAUGCUGACGCUGAGACACGAAAGCCAGGGGAGCGAACAGG
rnacentral:rRNA from 1 species